rnacentral:rRNA from 1 species
CUCUAAGGAGACUGCCGGUGACGAAACCGGAGGAAGGUGGGGAUGACGUCAAGUCAUCAUGGCCCUUACGGCCUGGGCUACACACGUGCUACAAUGGUCGGUACAAAGGGUUGCCAAGCCGCGAGGUGGAGCUAAUCCCAAUAAAACCGAUCGUAGUCCGGAUCGCAGUCUGCAACUCGACUGCGUGAAGUCGGAAUCGCUAGUAAUCGUGAAUCAGAAUGUCACGGUGAAUACGUUCCCGGGCCUU